rnacentral:rRNA from 1 species
UACAGAGGGUGCGAGCGUUGUCCGGAAUCAGCUGGGCGUAAAGGCGCGUAGGCGGUCCGUUAAGCGUGUGGUGAAAGCCCGGGGCUCAACUCCGGGUCUGCCGUGCGAACUGGGGGACUGGAGCUUGUCAGAGGCAGGCGGAAUUCCGGGUGUAGCGGUGGAAUGCGUAGAGAUCCGGAAGAACACCGGUGGCGAAGGCGGCCUGCUGGGACAGUGCUGACGCUGAGGCGCGACAGCGUGGGGAGCAAACAGG